rnacentral:rRNA from 1 species
UGGAUUAGGCAUGCAAGUCGAACGAGAACCGUAGCAAUACGGGGAAAGUGGCGAAAGGGGCAGUAAUGCAUGGGUAAUCUACCCCGGGGACGUGGAUAGCCAUCCUAACGGGUGGGUAAUACACGGCGAUUCGGCGAGGGGGCAUCCUUUUGCCGGGAAAUGAAUUUCGCCUCGGGAGGAACUCAUGUCGUAUUAGCUUGUUGGCGGGGUAACGGCCCACCAAGGCACAGAUGCGUAGCGGGUGUGAGAGCACGACCCGCGCCACUGGCACUGAGACACUGGCCAGACACCUACGGGUGGCUGCAGUCGAGGAUCUUCGGCAAUGGGCGCAAGCCUGACCGAGCGACGCCGCGUGUGCGACGAAGGCCUUCGGGUUGUAAAGCACUGUCGAGGGGGAGGAAAGCCGAAAGGUCUGACCUAUCCCUGGAGGAAGCACGGGCUAAGUUCGUGCCAGCAGCCGCGGUAAGACGAACCGUGCGAACGUUGUUCGGAAUCACUGGGCUUAAAGGGCGCGUAGGCGGGCGAUCAAGUCAGGGGUGAAAUCCUCCAGCUUAACUGGAGAACUGCCUCUGAUACUGGUCAUCUUGAGUGGGGUAGGGGCGUGCGGAGCUGAUGGUGGAGCGGUGAAAUGUGUUGAUAUCAUCAGGAACUCCGGUGGCGAAAGCGGCGCGCUGGACCCUAACUGACGCUGAGGCGCGAAAGCCAGGGG